GAUGAACGCUGGCGGCGUGCCUAAUACAUGCAAGUCGAGCGAACAGACGAGGAGCUUGCUCCUCUGACGUUAGCGGCGGACGGGUGAGUAACACGUGGAUAACCUACCUAUAAGACUGGGAUAACUUCGGGACACCGGCGCUAAUACCGGAUAAUAUAUUGCACCGCAUGGUUCAAUAGUGAAAGACGGUUUUGCUGUCACUUAUAGAUGGAUCCGCGCCGCAUUAGCUAGUUGGUAAGGUAACGGCUUAGCAAGGCGACUAUGCGUAGCCGACCUGAGAGGGGGAUCGGCCACACGGGAAGUGAGACACGGUCAAGACUCCUACGGGAGGCAGCAGUAGGGAAUCGUCCGCAAUGGGCGAAAGCCUGACGGAGCAACGCCGCGUGAGUGAUGACGGUCUUCGGAUCGUAAAACUCUGUUAUUAGGGAAGAACAAAUGUGUAAGUAACUAUGCACGUCUUGACGGUACCUAAUCAGAAAGCCACGGCUAACUACGUG
rnacentral:rRNA from 1 species